rnacentral:misc_RNA from 1 species
GAUGAAGAACGCAGCAAAAUGCGAUAAGUAAUGUGAAUUGCAGAAUUCAGUGAAUCAUCGAAUCUUUGAACGCACAUUGCGCCCGCCAGCAUCCUGGCGGGCAUGCCUGUUCGAGCGUCAUUACAACCCUCAGGCCCCCGGGCCUGGCGUUGGGGAUCGGCGGAAGCCCCCUGCGGGCACAACGCCGUCCCCCAAAUACAGUGGCGGUCCCGCCGCAGCUUCCAUUGCGUAGUAGCUAACACCUCGCAACUGGAGAGCGGCGCGGCCACGCCGUAAAACACCCAACUUCUGAAUGUUGACCUCGAAUCAGGUAGGAAUACCCGCUGAACUUAAGCAUAUCAAUAAGCGGAGGA